AAUCAACGCUGGCGGCGUGCCUAACACAUGCAAGUCGAACGCGAAAGCCCCGCAAGGGGCAAGUAGAGUGGCAAACGGGUGAGUAACACGUGGGUGACCUGCCUUCGAGCGGGGGAUAACGUCCCGAAAGGGACGCUAAUACCGCAUGACAUCCUGCCUUUGAAGAGGUGGAGAUCAAAGCUGGGGAUCGCAAGACCUAGCACUCGAAGAGGGGCCCGCGCCUGAUUAGCAGUUGGUGGGGUAACGGCUCACCAAGGCGACGAUCAGUAGCCGGCCUGAGAGGGCGGACGGCCACACUGGGACUGAGACACGGCCCAGACUCCUACGGGAGGCAGCAGUGGGGAAUUGUUCUCAAUGGGCGCAAGCCUGACGACGCAACGCCGCGUGGAGGACGAAGACC
rnacentral:rRNA from 1 species